AAGCCUGUGGCCGCGUUCAAGUAAUCCAGGACAGGCUGUGUGGGUCCCAGCGGGCCUGUUCUUGGUUACCUGUACGGGGACGCGGGCCU
rnacentral:pre_miRNA from 1 species